rnacentral:rRNA from 1 species
AUUGAACGCUGGCGGCAGGCCUAACACAUGCAAGUCGAGCGCGCGGCGGACGGGUGAGUAUUGUAUGGGGAUCUGUCCGAUAGCGGGGGGUAUAUCAUGGAAACACUGGUUAUUACCGCAUACUCUCGGAUGUACCCCUAUGGGAUUAGCUAGUUGGUGGGGUAUAGGCUCACCUAGGCGACGAUCUCUAGCUGGUCUGAGAGGAUGAUCAGCCACACUGGGACUGAGACACGGCCCAGACUCCUACGGGAGGCAGCAGUGGGGAAUAUUGCACAAUGGGCGCAAGCCUGAUGCAGCCAUGCCGCGUGUAUGAAGAAGGCCUUAGGGUUGUAAAGCACUUUCAGCGGGGAGGCGUUACCCGCAGAAGAAGCACCGGCUAACUACGUGCCAGCAGCCGCGGUAAUUC